AUUGAACGCUGGCGGCAGGCUUAACACAUGCAAGUCGAGCGGAGAGAGGUAGCUUGCUACUGAUCUUAGCGGCGGACGGGUGAGUAAUGCUUAGGAAUCUGCCUAUUAGUGGGGGGCAACAUUUCGAAAGGAAUGCUAAUACCGCAUACGUCCUACGGGAGAAAGCAGGGGAUCUUCGGACCUUGCGCUAAUAGAUGAGCCUAAGUCGGAUUAGAUAGUUGGUGGGGUAAAGGCCUACCAAGGCGACGAUCUGUAGCGGGUCUGAGAGGAUGAUCCGCCAAACUGGGACUGAGACACGGCCCAGACUCCUACGGGAGGCAGCAGUGGGGAAUAUUGGACAAUGGGCGGAAGCCUGAUCCAGCCAUGCCGCGUGUGUGAAGAAGGCCUUAUGGUUGUAAAGCACUUUAAGCGAGGAGGAGGCUACUUUAGUUAAUACCUAGAGAUAGUGGACGUUACUCGCAGAAUAAGCACCGGCUAACUCUGUGCCAGCCGCCGCCGUAAUAC
rnacentral:rRNA from 1 species